rnacentral:rRNA from 1 species
AGCAGCCGCGGUAAUUCCAGCUCCAAUAGCGUAUAUUAAAGUUGUUGCAGUUAAAAAGCUCGUAGUUGAAUUUCGGGGUUAGUAGGUUGGUCAUGCCUCUGGUAUGUACUGGUCUCACUGAUUCCUCCUUCCUUAUGAACCGUAAUGCCAUUAAUUUGGUGUUGCGGGAAAUUUGGACUGUUACUUUGAAAAAAUUAGAGUGUUUAAAGCAAAGCUAACGCUUGAAUACAUUAGCAUGGAAUAAUGAAAUAGGACGUUCGAUCUUAUUUUGUUGGUUUCUAGGAUUGACGUAAUGAUUAAUAGGGAUAGUUGGGGGCAUUAGUAUUCAAUUGUCAGAGGUGAAAUUCUUGGAUUUAUUGAAGACUAACUACUGCGAAAGCAAUUUGCCAAGGAUGUUUUCAUUAAUCAAGAACGAAA